CCCUUUGGGGUGUGACUGCGUACCUUUUGUAUAAUGGGUCAGCGACUUAUAUUCUGUAGCAAGGUUAACCGAAUAGGGGAGCCGGAGGGAAACCGAGUCUUAAUUGGGCGUUAAGUUGCAGGGUAUAGACCCGAAACCCGGUGAUCUAGCCAUGGGCAGGUUGAAGGUUGGGUAACACUAACUGGAGGACCGAACCGACUAAUGUUGAAAAAUUAGCGGAUGACCUGUGGCUGGGGGUGAAAGGCCAAUCAAACCGGGAGAUAGCUGGUUCUCCCCGAAAGCUAUUUAGGUAGCGCCUCGUGAAUUCAUCUCCGGGGGUAGAGCACUGUUUCGGCUAGGGGGCCAUCCCGGCUUACCAACCCGAUGCAAACUGCGAAUACCGGAGAAUGUUAUCACGGGAGACACACGGCGGGUGCUAACGUCCGUCGUGAAGAGGGAAACAACCCAGACCGCCAGCUAAGGUCCCAAAGUCAUGGUUAAGUGGGAAACGAUGUGGGAAGGCCCAGACAGCCAGGAUGUUGGCUUAGAAGCAGCCAUCAUUUAAAGAAAGCGUAAUAGCUCACUGGUCGAGUCGGCCUGCGCGGAAGAUGUAACGGGGCUAAACCAUG
rnacentral:rRNA from 3 species